rnacentral:rRNA from 1 species
GAUGAACGCUGGCGGUAUGCUUAACACAUGCAAGUCGAACGGACUCUUCGGAGUUAGUGGCGGACGGGUGAGUAACGCGUGAGAAUCUGGCUUUGGGUUCGGGACAACCACUGGAAACGGUGGCUAAUACCGGAUGUGCCGAGAGGUAAAAGAGAAAUUGCCUGAAGAUGAGCUGGCGUCUGAUUAGCUAGUUGGUGAGGUAAAGGCUCACCAAGGCAGCGAUCAGUAGCUGGUCUGAGCGGAUGACCAGCCACACUGGGACUGAGACACGGCCCAGACUACUACGGGAGGCAGCGGUGGGGAAUUAUCCGCAAUGGGCGAAAGCCUGACGGAGCACUACCGCGUGAGGGAAGAAGGCUCUUGGGUUGUAAACCUCUUUUCUUAGGGAAGAACAAAAUGACGGUACCUAAGGAAUCAGCAUCGGCUAACUCCGUG